AGCGAACGCUGGCGGCAUGCUUAACACAUGCAAGUCUCACGGGCAGCAAUGUCAGUGGCGGACGGGUGAGUAACGCGUAGGUAUCUGUCCUUGGGUGGGGGAUAACAGUGGGAAACUACUGCUAAUACCGCAUGAUAACUGAGGUUCAAAGGCGCAAGUCGCCUGGGGAGGAGCCUGCGUACGAUUAGCUAGUUGGUGGGGUAAAGGCCUACCAAGGCUACGAUCGUUAGCUGGUCUGAGAGGAUGAUCAGCCACAUUGGGACUGAGACACGGCCCAAACUCCUACGGGAGGCAGCAGUGGGGAAUAUUGGACAAUGGGCGAAAGCCUGAUCCAGCAAUGCCGCGUGUGUGAAGAAGGUCUUCGGAUUGUAAAGCACUUUCGACG
rnacentral:rRNA from 1 species